UGAGGGAUCUUGCGCAAUGGGCGACAGCCUGACGCAGCAACGCCGCGUGGAGGAUGACGGCCUUCGGGUUGUAAACUCCUUUUCUCAGGGAGCAGAGCGGAGAGUACCUGAGGAAGAAGUCACGGCUAACUACGUGCCAGCAGCCGCGGUAAUACGUAGGUGGCAAGCGUUAUCCGGAAUUACUGGGCGUAAAGGGUCCGUCGGUGGGGCCAUAAGUCUGAUGUAACAGCCCCUGGCUUAACUGGGGGUAGCCAUUGGAAACUGCGGCUCUUGAGUCACGGAGAGGGGUGCGGAAUUCCGGGUGUAGUGGUGGAAUGCGUAGAGAUCCGGAGGAACACCAAAGGCGCAAGCAGCACCCUGGUCGAGGACUGACACUUCAGGACGAAAGUAUGGGGAGCAAACAG
rnacentral:rRNA from 1 species